AAAGUCGUAACAAGGUUUCCGUAGGUGAACCUGCGGAAGGAUCAUUAACAAACGAACACGACCGACCCUGUUGAAAUGGACUGUUGGGGGGACAAUCAGUGGGCGAGGAGUGUGAUCAAGCGCCAUUGUGCACUUUUCUGCUCCUCGCUCACUGACCCCCCUCGCAGCUUAGCAAACACCCUUUAUUGAUAGACCACUAGCAAAGAACCGAAUUAAAAACAACUUUUAACAAUGGAUCUCUUGGCUCUU
rnacentral:misc_RNA from 1 species